GACGAACGCUGGCGGCGUGCCUAAUACAUGCAAGUCGAACGCUUCUUUCCUCCCGAGUGCUUGCACUCAAUUGGAAAGAGGAGUGGCGGACGGGUGAGUAACACGUGGGUAACCUACCCAUCAGAGGGGGAUAACACUUGGAAACAGGUGCUAAUACCGCAUAACAGUUUAUGCCGCAUGGCAUAAGAGUGAAAGGCGCUUUCGGGGUCGCUGAUGGAUGGACCCGCGGUGCAUUAGCUAGUUGGUGAGGUAACGGCUCACCAAGGCCACGAUGCAUAGCCGACCUGAGAGGGUGAUCGGCCACACUGGGACUGAGACACGGCCCAGACUCCUACGGGAGGCAGCAGUAGGGAAUCUUCGGCAAUGGACGAAAGUCUGACCGAGCAACGCCGCGUGAGUGAAGAAGGUUUUCGGAUCGUAAAACUCUGUUGUUAGAGAAGAACAAGGACGUUAGUAACUGAACGUCCCCUGACGGCAUCUAACCAGAAAGCCACGGCUAACUACGUG
rnacentral:rRNA from 1 species